AUGACUCGCCUUUACGCCAACUUGACUGGGUAUGAAACUCUUCGAUCAUACGUUCAUUCCCUAAGGUCUUUGGAGGCAUCGGAUCAUACCUGGGGAACCUGCCCCAGUGCCUGUCACCGAGGAGCACCUGACCCAGGCCCAGCCGCCGAUCCUACUGUGAGAAAGGGGAGUCCUCUGUCAUCUGGUCCCGCUGAUGUCGUCUGCAGCCCAGACCAUAAACCAAGGACCGUGGAAGUUCAAGUGAACGAAUCAGCUCCCAUGAGACAGCUGGAAGAAGUAAGGAUCUGUUAGUUCACUUGGAGUGGCCCUACGCCCGGCGGAAGGAGUUCCAGGGCACUUAGCCCAGGCCAGGUGAGCUUCAGCGACACCACGUGGGAGCUGGGCAUUCACAAGGGGCAUUUCCGUUACACCGGGUGAGCACGUGGUGGCCACAAUGCCCCACCUGGAGGGCUCAGCCUCCACCAUCGGUGUGACAACCUCUUCAUAAACAGUCCCUUCCACGUCCUGGAGAGCCUUGUGGCUUGAUUUCAUCUCCCCUCUGACACAGCAGCACUGAAUUAAGAAUUUCUGCUGAAGGGAAACUGUCAACGGUAGGGGCCAGAGUAUGUCCUUUUCGGACAGCCUUCCCGGAUCCAUCUUGGCAGCCCUCUUUGUUGCCAGACUCAGGUUCGGCUGCUCAUUGCUCAAGAAUCCAACACUGAGAGACAAGUGCUGGGUAGAAGGAAAGACAGCUUUACUGGGGAAGCUGGGGAGAAGGUGGACUCAUGUCCCCAAGAACCAGCUCCUCCCUCCCCAGGUUUUGCUCAGAGAUUUUAUAGGGAAAAGAGGAAGGGGCUACGUGCUGGGAAGGGGUUGUGGGGUGUGUAUCAGCUCGUGCACGCUCUUCUGAUUGGCUGGUGGUGAGCUAACCGAGAGUCAGUGUCAUCAGCCUUCUGGUUCCAGCCAGUCAGGGUCUCCACGCCGGUGGUCAGCGUGCAGGUAACUUCUUCCACCUGCUGGGGUUUCAGUCUCUGCAAAACAGCUCAAAGGAUGUGGCUCAGAAUAUGAUCUCUGGCCCUUGAGGAGGAACUAAAGGUCCUUGACUCUGUCUAAUGGCUAAACUAUUAUUAUUUUGUCUUGCUUGACUAUUUUCCUUUGUUUCUGCAUAUUCUCAUUUCCCUGAUUAAAUUAAAUUUAUUCCUUGGAACUCAGAAAAGGCCUCAGAGGCUAAAGGUUUUCUACAGACGAGAGGCAGGUGGAGGACGGGGGUGCUGUUUGUUCGGGGAGACCCCAUAGGGCCCUCCUGCUCAGUGACAGCCUGACCCCUGAUCACAGAGAGCAUGAAAGGCCACAGAGGCAGUGGACCCUGGCCUGGGGUAUCUUCCAUGAUCCACCCUCUACUGGGUUGAAUAGUGUUCCAAAAAAAUUCAUGUCCACCUGCGACCUCCAAAUGGGACCUUUUUUGGAAAUACGGUCUUUGCAGAUGUAAAUAGGUUAAGACAAGGUCAUAUUGCAGUAGGGUGGACCCCAAGUCCAAUGACUUGUAUCCUUCUAAGAAGAGGAAAUUUGGACAGAGAGACACAUGGGGAGAACACUGUGUGAGGACAGAGGCAGAGGUUGGAGGGAUGCAGCUACAAGCCCAGGAAUGCCAGGGAUUUUCCACAACCUCUAGAAGCUAGAGAGGGGCGUGGGACAGAUUCUCCCCCAGAACCUUCAGAAGGAACCAGCCCUGCCAGCACUUUAAUUUUAGGACUUCUCACCUCCAGAUUGUGUGAGAAUAUGUUUCUGUUGCUUUAAGACACUCAGUUUGUGGGGUCAUUUGUUACAGCAGCUGCAGGUCACACACAUACACACCACCACCACUCCUAGCUACACCCACCCUAGCACCCCCCCUAGUUCUGCCCACACCCCCCUUGUUCAGGCGGCCCAUUCAGCUCCUCUCUCUGACUUACCAACCAUGGCAGAAAAAAGAAAAGAUUUUACUCUUUAAAAAGUGCAUGUAGGGGCUUCCCUGGUGGCACAGUGGUUGAGAGUCUGCCUGCCGAUGCAGGGAACACGGGUUCGUGCCCCAGUCCGGGAAGAUCCCACAUGCCGUGGAGUGGCUGGGCCCGUGAGCCAUGGCCGCUGAGCCUGCGCGUCCAGAGCCUGUGCUCUGCAACGGGAGAAGCCGCAACAGUGAGAGGCCCACGUACUGCAAAAAAAAAAAAAAAAAAAAGGUGCACGUAGGACUUCCCUGGAGGUCCAGUGGUUAAGAUUCUGUGCUCCCAAUGCAGGGGGCAUGGGUUUGAUCCCUGGUUGGGGAACUAAGAUCCCACAUGCCACACAGUGUGGCCUAAAAAAUUUUUUUUAAAGUGCAUGUAACUAUUCACGAUAGCCAAGACACGGAAGCAACGUAAAUGUCCAUCGACAGAGGAAUGGAUAAAGAAGAUGUGGUACAUAUAGACAAUGGACUAUUACUCAUCCAUAAAAAAGAAUGAAAUAAUGUCAUUUGCAGCAACAUGGGUGGACCUAGAGAUUAUCAUAGUAAGUGCAGUAAGUCAGACUGAGACAAAAUACCAUAUGAUAUCACUUAUACGUGGAAUCUAUAAUAUGACACAAAUGAACUUUAUCUACAAAACAGAAACAGACUUACAGACAUAGAGAACAGCCUUGUGGUUGCCAAGGGGGAGGAGGGGUGGGGGAAGGAAGGAUUGAGAGUUUGGGACUAGCAGAUGCAAACUGUUCUACAUAAAACGGAUGAAAACCAAGGUCCUACUGUAUAGCAUGGGGAACUGUAUUCCAUAUCGUGUGAUGAACCAUAAUGGAGAAGGAUAUGAAAAAGAAUGUACAUGUAUAUGUGUAACUGAAUCACUUUGCUGUACAGCUGAAACUAACACAACACUGUAAAUCAACUCUACCACAAUAAAAUAAAUGCUUAAAAUAAUGUAAUUUAAUUUUUAAAAAUUAAAAGCUCAUUUAAGACCAGGUAUUUCGCAGGUAUGACUUCUCCCCCCACUUUCUAAUCUACGCAGGUCCCAGCUGCAUUUGCUCUGUGUCACAUCAGGGAGAAAGGAUCAGGAGAAACCCUCUCUCCUUGAGUGGGUGGUGGAGGGAGAGGUGGGCAAGACCCCUGGGCCCCUCUCUCUCUCCCACCCACCCCACCACACCCCCGGCCAUCGGGACAGGGUGGGCCUUGACUCCACCGGACACUAACUACAGUCCUGUCACCCCGAACUGUAAAAUCCUCCCAUGGUCCCCUGCCGGCUCGACCUUUAGCAUCGGAAUCAGCGGUUCCGCACCUCAUGCCCACACGUUUUUAAUUGUGAUAAAAUACACGUAACAUAGAAUUUCCCAUCUCAGCCAUGUUACACGCACAGUUCAGUGGCAUUAAGUAGAUUCACAUUGCUGCGAACCAUCUCCACCAUCCGUCUCCAGAACUUUCCAUCUUCCCAGACUGAAGCUCUGUCCCCAUGAAACACUCGCUCCCCCUCCCCUCCCCCAGCCCCGGG
rnacentral:lncRNA from 1 species